CCGGAUAUACGCGUGCGUCACAAAGACCUGCCAUUUUGUCCACAUCACUCCGCUCGGGAAAAAACUAGUACAAAACCAGAGAGGAGCAACCCCUACUUGUCCUCUGCAUGUCUGCUGUAUACGCCCGAGGUCUGCUCCCUCACCAGCGUGCAACCAUAUCUGUCGACAUGACGUCCCUGCCGUGGAUCCUUACUGCCCUUUUAGCGUCGGCCUCAAGCGUUCGCUGUCAUGGAUACUGCACACCAGCUGAGCCAUGCCCGUACUUUUGUGAUUAUGCUCGUGAUGUUUAUCUCUGUCCAAUAUGCGUAUGCCCUCCGGUGUGUCCCGUAUGCCCAACGCGCUGCUACUACCCGUCGGUGCAGGGAGAGUGCCCGCCGUGCGCGUCGCCUGAUCUGUGCUGGAUCUAAAGACAGAUGGCGUGACGUGUCAUCACUCCCAGUGUUCGAUCUACGAGCAGGGCAGCGAACUCUUUAAGCUGAUAUACUUAGAAAAAAAAAAAAAAACACAAUGCUCUACAUUUACUUCGUAAAGCGCGGCAUGCGCGCCGGCCCGGGUAAACUUUAAAGGAAUCAAGAAAUAAUGAUUAUUAUUUAAAUGAAUCGCUAUCCUGUGGUAGAUAAUGUCAUGUAGCGUAAAACAAUGGGUGUCGGGUGAAGCACAAUCCACCUGAUAUGAUGCAGUACUGUAUUUCUAUUGAAUGUACACUAAAGCAGUGGCUUGUAGCGAGAAAAUAAAUCUGAAAGAGCUAACAAGGACAUAUAGCUA